GACGAACGCUGGCGGCGUGCUUAACACAUGCAAGUCGAACGGAAAGACCCUGCUCUUGUGGGUUGCUCGAUUGGCGAACGGGUGAGUAACACGCGAGUAACCCGUCCUUGACUUUGGGAUAAAUUCAGGAAACUCGGGCUAAUACCGGAUAGAAGCUCCUGCUCCACGGUGGGGGUUGGAAAGUUUCGGCGGUUGUGGCUGGACUCGCGGCUUAUCAGCCUGUUGGUGGGGUAGUGGCUUACCAAGGCUUUGACGGGUAGCCGGCCUGGGAGGGUUAACGGCGACAUUGGGACUGAGAGAGGGCGCAGACUGGUACGGGAGGCAGCAGUGGGGAAUAUUGCACAAUGGGCGGGAGCCUGAUGCGGCAACGCCGCGUGCGGGAUGACGGCCUUCGGGUUGUAAACCGCUGUCGCCUGUGACGAAGCGUGAGUGACGGUAAUGGGUAAAGAAGCACCGGCUAACUACGUG
rnacentral:rRNA from 1 species